AUACAGGGGGUACCAGUACAGAGUCAAUGUGGAGGCUAUAUACAGGGGGUACCGGUACAGAGUUCAUGUGGAGACUAUAUACAGGGGGUACCGAUACAGAGUUAAUGUGGAGAUUAUAUUCAGGGGGUACCGGUACAGAGUUAAUGUGGAGGCUAUAUACAGGGGGGUACCAGUACAGAGUCAAUGUGGAGACUAUAUACAGGGGGUACCAGUACAGAGUCAAUGUGGAGACUAUAUACAGGGGGGAGUCAAUGUGGAGACUAUAUACAGGGGGUACCGGUACAGAGUUAAUGUGGAGACUAUAUACAGAGGGUACGGUACAGAGUCAAUGUGGAGGCUAUAUACAGGGGUACCGGUACAGAGUCAAUGUGGAGACUAUAUACAGGGGGUACUGGUACAUAGUCAAUGUGGAGACUAUAUACAGGGGGUACUGGUACAUAGUCAAUGUGGAGACUAUAUACAGGGGGUUCCGGUACAUAGUCAAUGUGGAGACUAUAUACAGGGGGUACCGGUACAGAGUUAAUGUGGAGACUAUAUACAGGGGGUACCGGUACAGAGUCAAUGUGGAGGCUAUAUACAGGGGGGUACUGAUACAGAGUUAAUGUGGAGACUAUAUACAGGGGGGUACCGGUACAGAGUCAAUGUGGAGGCUAUAUACAGGGGGUUCUGGUACAGAGUCAAUGCGGAGACUAUACUCAGGGGGUACCACUACAGACUCAAUGUGGAG
ensembl:lncRNA